CAGCCGCCGGGUAAUACAGAGGGUGCGAGCGUUAAUCGGAUUUACUGGGCGUAAAGCGUGCGUAGGCGGCUUCUUAAGUCGGAUGUGAAAUCACUGAGCUUAACUUAGGAAUUGCAUUCGAUACUGGGAAGCUAGAGUAUGGGAGAGGAUGGUAGAAUUCCAGGUGUAGCGGUGAAAUGCGUAGAGAUCUGGAGGAAUACCGAUGGCGAAGGCAGCCAUCUGGCCUAAUACUGACGCUGAGGUACGAAAGCAUGGGGAGCAAACAGGAUUAGAUACCCCAGUAGUCCCUGUCUCUUAUACA
rnacentral:rRNA from 1 species